ensembl:lncRNA
CGACACCGUGUCCUUAGCAACGGUCGCGUCUCUACGGCAACAUCCUCCGAUGUCCCCUACCGCUGCGUUCACCGUGACUCUCCGCCGCUUCCACUCGGGUGAAGUGGUGUUUUUUGGGGGGUGGGUGGGGGGGGAUCCGAUCGAGCGCGAGCGCCCACGCCAGCUGCUGAUUGUGUCUCGCGACUUCAGCGCCUAAAGUUGGUGUGCAUGCGCGGCAACUUGGCCACGAGGACGCGCCUCCGUCAUUGAUCGUCCCUUACCGGCACAACCCGCAGCCGCAGCCCCCAGGUGUGCCACGGCGCGUGGAGUACAAGCAGGCCCCACAGAGGAGGGAAGGACCUGAGGAAGAGUGGACGCAUUGUCAGAAAAGCCUGAUAAAAGAGAGGAGCCAAACAAAGACACUUAACCUGAGUAACCUGAAGCACAAUUGGCUCUCAGAGUUGCAGCAAGUUAUGCAAAUUUGUCUCUGCUGUCUUUCAAACACGCCGAAUGUGAGUUUUGGAAGCCAAAUCCACCAGAAGAUGAAAUCUUUGUUCAUGUUGCAUUAAGUCUCAACUUCUCUUUGAGCUCUAUGUUUGUUCCCCCAAAUAAAAACCUGUCUGAGGCUUUUUGGUGAUGGGGAAGUCUUUAAUUGCAUGACUCAACACAACCGCUGUUAAUUACUGUCAGCGAAGGGAGGGAGCAGAGGGUGUUGUCUGGUCGACGUGGCGCAGGGGUAGAGAGGGUGCGCCGGGAACCGCAAGGGUGGCGGUUCGAGCCCUGGCUGCUUCAUGUCCAAGUGUCCCUGAGC